rnacentral:rRNA from 1 species
CGACCAAUCUAGAGAGUAGGGGAAGAGCGCCACCGACCUGCCCCGCUUCUAAGCGGUACCUACCGGACGUCAAGAAGCUCCUUCGGUUUAGUCGCACUUUAUAACGAUCUAGAACGCGAAAUAUAAGAACAAGAUUACGAACCUUGGUUGAUCCACAAAUCGCCUAUUAAGGACGGCCUAAAAAGGGGUUAAAAAACAGAUCGAGUAGACGGGGUCACGGGGACCAACAACUUAGACCUACCCCCCCACAGCGACUACACCUCACGCAGCAAUGAAGGUACGUACUUCGAGCGCACUUGACGGGUCAAAACUAAAGGAGACUCGGUUAGUGACAGCCGAUUCCGCGUCUCGUCGUGGCAAAUCCUGUCUGUGGAACUCCUCCGUUGCGACCACCUUCUCCUGUAACCUAGCAUAUUGCUACGAUCACUACACCAACGGCUGAGUUCGUUGUACCGAGGACUUCUAUGGUCGCUACGUCGACAGUCUCUUCUACCUCUACGUCUUGCACACGAGCAGAGGUUGAGUUGCCCGAGUACGACCUGAUCUGCCAUUACUAGGUCGAACCCGACAUUCUACAAGACCGUCUUGUGCACGACUUUACAACCUGGUCCCUACGCUCCCUAUAUGAGGGUGGUCUCGAAGACGCGAUGAUCUUCUUGGUUCCAGGAGAGUUCUUGAGAAGCACCGCUGUAUUGUUAGACGUAGGCAACACAGAGCUUUAAUAGUCUGAUCUACUGUAGUUAUUCUUACGUAUAUGAGAUCGAUACCUCGUUGACUCUUUACACUUUUUUAUCAUAACCUUGGACACCGCCGAUAUUCGCUACCAUACCCCGAUAGGCUGUCUCUUCACCGUUGACUAAGACGUCCUAGACCGCAACCCGUGUUUUUAGUAAAACCAGAUCGUUAGGCCGCGUCUCACGGAGUGUUACAAGUCUAUCAAAGCGCUGUGGCAGCUUCUUCUCCGGUCGUCCCGUCGGAUGGGUUCGACGUUGUUUCGUGGCAUGCUUAUCGGUCGAUUUUCCUGAUCCAAGAUAAGAUAUACGUCCCAAGUUCUAGUGUCCUAAUGACGUACAGGCGUCGCCCCACUAGAAGGUUUCCGCGAACGACGAGGUCUACGUCGAACUCUCCCGUGACCUUCUUG